CACCAGGUCAGGACACGGUAAGGAUUGACGGACUGAAGGCUCUUUCUCGAUUCCGUGGAAAGUGGUGCAUGGCCGUUUUUGGUUGGUGGAUCGAUCCGUCUGGUUAAUUCCGUUAACGAACGAGACCUCGGCACUCCGAAUAGCGCGGCGGACGUCGCGGCCUCCGGGCCGUCUUCCGCACGAGCUUCUUAGAGGGACCGUCCCCCGCCGGGGAAGGAGGUGCGAGGCAACGACAGGUCUGUGAUGCCCUUAGAUGUUCUGGGCCGCACGCGCAUUACACUGACGCGUCCAACGGGUGACUCCCGACCCGAAGGGGCCGGGGAAUCCGCAAGGCGCGUCGUGAUGGGGAUUGAACGUUGCAAUUGUUGUUCACGAACGAGGAAUUCCUAGUAGGCGCGGGUCAUCAACCCGCGCCGAUUACGUCCCUGCCCUUUGUACACACCGCCCG
rnacentral:rRNA from 1 species